rnacentral:tRNA from 1 species
GGACGCUUAGCUCAGCUGGUUCAGAGCACCUGCCUUACAAGCAGGGGGUCAGAGGUUCGAAUCCUCUAGCGUCCA